rnacentral:rRNA from 1 species
UACGGAGGGUGCAAGCGUUAUCCGGAUUCACUGGGUUUAAAGGGUGCGUAGGCGGGCAUUUAAGUCGGGGGUGAAAUCCUGGAGCUCAACUCCAGAACUGCCUUCGAUACUGUAGAGCUUGAGUUCGGGAGAGGUGAGUGGAAUUCCGAGUGUAGAGGUGAAAUUCGUAGAUAUUCGGAAGAACACCAGUGGCGAAGGCGACUCGCUGGACAAGUAUUGACGCUGAGGUGCGAAAGCGUGGGGAGCAAACAGG